UAGGGAAUCUUCGGCAAUGGACGAAAGUCUGACCGAGCAACGCCGCGUGAGUGAAGAAGGUUUUCGGAUCGUAAAACUCUGUUGUUAGAGAAGAACAAGGACGUUAGUAACUGAACGUCCCCUGACGGUAUCUAACCAGAAAGCCACGGCUAACUACGUGCCAGCAGCCGCGGUAAUACGUAGGUGGCAAGCGUUGUCCGGAUUUAUUGGGCGUAAAGCGAGCGCAGGCGGUUUCUUAAGUCUGAUGUGAAAGCCCCCGGCUCAACCGGGGAGGGUCAUUGGAGACUGGGAGACUUGAGUGCAGAAGAGGAGGGUGGAAUUCCAUGUGUAGCGGUGAAAUGCGUAGAUAUAUGGAGGAACACCAGUGGCGAAGGCGGCUCUCUGGUCUGUAACUGACGCUGAGGCUCGAAAGCGUGGGGAGCAAACAGG
rnacentral:rRNA from 1 species